GACGAACGCUGGCGGCGUGCUUAACACAUGCAAGUCGAACGGAAAGGCCCUGCUUGCAGGGUACUCGAGUGGCGAACGGGUGAGUAACACGUGGGUGAUCUGCCCUUCACUUCGGGAUAAGCCUGGUAAACUGGGUCUAAUACCGGAUAGGAGCCAUUUUUAGUGUGAUGGUUGGAAAGUUUUUUCGGUGUAGGAUGAGCUCGCGGCCUAUCAGCUUGUUGGUGGGGUAAUGGCCUACCAAGGCGGCGACGGGUAGCCGGCCUGAGAGGGUGGACGGCCACAUUGGGACUGAGAUACGGCCAAGACUCCUACGGGAGGCAGAAGUGGGGAAUAUUGCACAAUGGGCGCAAGCCUGAUGCAGCGACGCCGCGUGGGGGAUGACGGCCUUCGGGUUGUAAACUCCUUUCGCUAGGGACGAAGCUUUUUGUGACGGUACCUAGAGAAGAAGCACCGGCUAACUACGUG
rnacentral:rRNA from 1 species